GAUGAACUCUGGCGGCGUGCCUAAUACAUGCAAGUCGAGCGAAUGGAUUAAGAGCUUGCUCUUAUGAAGUUAGCGGCGGACGGGUGAGUAACACGUGGGUAACCUGCCCAUAAGACUGGGAUAACUCCGGGAAACCGGGGCUAAUACCGGAUAGCAUUUUGAACCGCAUGGUUCGAAAUUGAAAGGCGGCUUCGGCUGUCACUUAUGGAUGGACCCGCGUCGCAUUCGCUAGUUGGUGAGGUAACUGCUAACCAAGGCAACGAUGCGUAACUACCCGGAGAGGGUGAUCGGCCACACUGGGACUGAGACACGGCCCAGGCUCCUACGGGAGGCAGCAGUAGGGAAUCUUCCGCAAUGGACGAAAGUCUGACGGAGCAACGCCGCGUGAGUGAUGAAGGCUUUCGGGUCGUAAAACUCUGUUGUUAGGGAAGAACAAGUGCUAGUUGAAUAAGCUGGCACCUUGACGGUACCUAACCAGAAAGCCACGGCUAACUACGUGCCAGCCGCCGCUGUAA
rnacentral:rRNA from 1 species